UAUUUGAAAAUUUGCCAUUAAAAAUUUAAAUAAGACAGCCGAAUGUCAGGAAAAUAAAGCGAGAAAACUGUUUUAUUACUGCACCUGUUUAUAAUUUGACCAUGGAAACGCAUCAGCAUA